rnacentral:rRNA from 1 species
CGACCAGUCACACGGGCACUGAGACACGGGCCCGACUCCUACGGGAGGCAGCAGUAAGGAAUAUUGGUCAAUGGACGAAAGUCUGAACCAGCCAUGCCGCGUGGAGGAUGAAGGUCCUCUGGAUUGUAAACUUCUUUUAUAUGGGACGAAAAAAGGCCUUUCUAGGUCGUCUGACGGUACCAUAUGAAUAAGCACCGGCUAACUCCGUGCCAGCAGCCGCGGUAAUACGGAGGGUGCAAGCGUUAUCCGGAUUCACUGGGUUUAAAGGGUGCGUAGGUGGGUUGGUAAGUCAGUGGUGAAAUCCCCGAGCUUAACUUGGGAACUGCCAUUGAUACUAUCAGUCUUGAAUACCGUGGAGGUCAGCGGAAUAUGUCAUGUAGCGGUGAAAUGCUUAGAUAUGACAUAGAACACCAAUUGCGAAGGCAGCUGGCUACCCGAAUAUUGACACUGAGGCACGAAAGCGUGGGGAUCAAACAGGAUUAGAUACCCUGGUAGUCCACGCCCUAAACUAUGGAUACUCGACAUUUGCGAUAAACUGUAAGUGUCUGAGCGAAAGCAUUAAGUAUCCCACCUGGGAAGUACGACCGCAAGGUUGAAACUCAAAGGAAUUGGGCGGGGGGUCCGCACAAGCGGUGGGAGCAUGGUGGUUUAAUUCGAUGAUACGCGAGGAACCUUACCUGGGC